CCUACGGGGGGCUGCAGUGGGGAAUAUUGCACAAUGGGGGAAACCCUGAUGCAGCAACGCCGCGUGAUCGAUGAAGGCCUUCGGGUCGUAAAGCUCUGUCCUAAGGGAAGAAUACUGACGGUACCUUAGGAGGAAGCCCCGGCUAACUACGUGCCAGCAGCCGCGGUAAUACGUAGGGGGCUAGCGUUAUCCGGAAUUAAUGUGCGUAAAGGGUUCGUAGGGGGGACUUCAAGUCAGAGGUGAAAGGCUACGGCUGAACCGUAGUAAGACUUUGAAACUGUGGGGCUUGAGUGCAGGAGAGGAGAGUGGAAUUACAAGUGUAGAGGUGAAAUGCGUAGAUAUUGGGAGGAACACCAGUUGCGAAGGCGGAUCUAUGGACUGUAACUGACGCUGAGGCACGAAAGCGGGGGGAGCGAACAGGAUUAGAGACCCCGGUAGUC
rnacentral:rRNA from 1 species